rnacentral:rRNA from 1 species
AUUGAACGCUGGCGGUAGGCCUAACACAUGCAAGUCGAACGCGAAAGUCCUUCGGGAUGAGUAGAGUGGCGGACGGGUGAGUAACGCGUAGGAAUCUAUCCUGUAGUGGGGGAUAACGUUUCGAAAGGAACGCUAAUACCGCAUACGCCCCAAGGGGAAAGCGGGGGAUCUUCGGACCUCGUGCUAUAGGAGGAGCCUGCGUCGGAUUAGCUAGUUGGUGAGGUAAAGGCUCACCAAGGCGACGAUCCGUAGCUGGUCUGAGAGGAUGAUCAGCCACACCGGAACUGAGACACGGUCCGGACUCCUACGGGAGGCAGCAGUGGGGAAUAUUGCGCAAUGGGCGAAAGCCUGACGCAGCCAUACCGCGUGUGUGAAGAAGGCC